AACCGCUUCCACGCAGUACAUGGCCCGGCGAGCUUCUUCGUUGGAUGUGAAUUGGAUCAGCGCCGCCUCUGGGUUGCCGCCAAACACCACCUGGAUGGAUGAAAUCAAUUUCCAAAUCCAGCUUUUCCCACCUUGAGGGAGAUGAUACCUGAAUGUUCACGAUGGUCCCGAACUUGCUGAAGUGCUCGUUGAGCUUGGUGAUGGUGUUGAGCUCAGGCGGGAUAUUCCACACCUCCAGCUUAGUGUUCACGUAGAAGUUCCUCUUCGGGAAGCCCCCUUUGUUGUUGAAGUUUGGCCUGACACCAAGAGAGAGACUGGAUAUAUUGGGGACGGAGCGACACCGAUGACGACGAGGGAGGAGGCGGUAGAGGAAGAGGAGGCGGUAGCCUCGCGCCGGGCGGCCCGACUGAAGGCGAUGACGUGAUCGCCGACUGGUGGUUGGGGGUUUCCAUUCCACUGGUUGCGAUCAGUGGAGGGGGUCCUGACGGAGACACAAGCCCAAGCUGAUGCCUCAUAACAGCGAGUCGUCCUUCACUCAUCCAGGAAAACGGAACCAGAGAAAGCGAUUCCCACUUACUUCGGCUGCAUCUGAUUUCGCUGGAG